UGGGGAAUUUUGCACAAUGGGGGAAACCCUGAUGCAGCGACGCCGCGUGAUUUAGAAGGCCUUCGGGUUGUAAAAAUCUUUUCUAUGGGAAGAAAAUGACAGUACCAUAGGAAUAAGGACCGGCUAAUUACGUGCCAGCAGCCGCGGUAAUACGUAAGGUCCGAGCGUUGUCCGGAAUCAUUGGGCGUAAAGGGUACGUAGGCGGGUAAGCAAGUUAGAAGUGAAAUCCUAUAGCUCAACUAUAGUAAGCUUUUAAAACUGCUCAUCUUGAGGUAUGGAAGGGAAAGUGGAAUUCCUAGUGUAGCGGUGAAAUGCGCAGAUAUUAGGAGGAAUACCGGUGGCGAAGGCGACUCUCUGGUCUGUAACUGACGCUGAGGCUCGAAAGCGUGGGUAGCAAACAGG
rnacentral:rRNA from 1 species